AGUGAACGCUGGCGGUAGGCCUAACACAUGCAAGUCGAACGGCAGCACAGUAAGAGCUUGCUCUUACGGGUGGCGAGUGGCGGACGGGUGAGGAAUACAUCGGAAUCUACUUUUUCGUGGGGGAUAACGUAGGGAAACUUACGCUAAUACCGCAUACGACCUACGGGUGAAAGCAGGGGAUCUUCGGACCUUGCGCGAUUGAAUGAGCCGAUGUCGGAUUAGCUAGUUGGCGGGGUAAAGGCCCACCAAGGCGACGAUCCGUAGCUGGUCUGAGAGGAUGAUCAGUCACACUGGAACUGAGACACGGUCCAGACUCCUACGGGAGGCAGCAGUGGGGAAUAUUGGACAAUGGGCGCAAGCCUGAUCCAGCCAUACCGCGUGGGUGAAGAAGGCCUUCGGGUUGUAAAGCCCUUUUGUUGGGAAGGAAAAGCAGCAGGUUAAUACCCCGCUGUUCUGACGGUACCAAAAGAAUAAGCACCGGCUAACUUCGUG
rnacentral:rRNA from 1 species